rnacentral:misc_RNA from 1 species
UCUCCGUAGGUGAAACUGCGGAGGGAUCAUUACUGAGUGAAUGCUUCGGUACGACCUCCAACCCUUUGUGAACCAAACUUGUUGCUUCGGGGGCGACCCUUCCGCUUCGGCGGUGCGGCGCCCCCGGAGGCCAUUAAACACUGCAUCAUUGCGUCGGAGUUAAAGUAAAUUAAACAAAACUUUCAACAACGGAUCUCUUGGUUCCAGCAUCGAUGAAGAACGCAGC